ACUCCAGAGCUGUACUCACUAUUCUGCUGGUGAGGUCACUGUGUACAUACAUUACAUUACUUAUCCUGUACUGAUCCUGAGUUAUAUCCUGUAUUAUACUCCAGAGCUGUACUCACUAUUCUGCUGGUGGGGUCACUGUGUACGUACAUUACAUUACUUAUCCUGUAUUAUACUCCAGAGCUGUACUCACUAUUCUGCUGGUGAGGUCACUGUGUACAUACAUUACAUUACUUAUCCUGUACUGAUCUGGAGUUAUAUCCUGUAUUAUACUCCAGAGCUGUACUCACUAUUCUGCUGGUGAGGUCACUGUGUACAUACAUUACAUUACUUAUCCUGUACUGAUCCUAAGUUAUAUUUCAUUGUAGUCCAGAGCUGCUGUGGAUAUAAGAGAAACUGGGGAGCAUCACAUUAGUCAACUCUGUUUCCUUAGGAGACUAGGCGUCGAGGUUUCGCUCAACUUCCAAGUUCCACCUGUCCAGCUGGACCACAGUUCCCUCCUCUACAUGGCUCAGGAUUUUGGAGAGGGGCUCAUCGGUGUAACCCUAGUGCAUACGGGACAAAUGAGCAGGGAAUUCAGCAGGGAGUAGGUGACCCACUGUACUGAGGGUAACGGAGAUGGCGGAGUUCUGGGGAAAACAAAUGUUACGCUCUUCAGUCUUAUUUAUUUGUUCUGGCUGGAGAGAUAUCUCUAUAUUUAUCAGCUAGAAAGACACAGAUGUAUUGUGAGGAAAGAAAACAACACAAGCCGCGGGUACACGGCGUCCCUGCACAAUCCACAGUAGUCAGAGAGAGACACAA